AUUUCUUUGUCCCCCCUGGAAUAUUAAUUUAUAAGACUCUAAGAGAAAGUUGGCAGCAUCUAGCCCUUCAUCAUAACUUCCAUGAGAGCUGCCUCAAUGGGAGAUGAUAAUAAGAUGGAUAAAACUAGAGCGCUAAAUAGACACUUGCCACAGAAAGAUAAGGCUAAAGAGGCGAAGCGACUUUCCCAGUGGCUUGCUGGGAGAAUUGAAUGGGAAGAAGAGAAGGGAUGUUUCUUGUUUCCCGAAGUUGGAGAAUUCUUGGAUGUUUGUCAUUGCUAUAAUCUCAUACCUGGGGAUACACAUGGGAUAAAAUGCUAUUUCUGCUGCUCCAGUCAAGCUGUUCUAGUGGUGACCAUAGCAUUUUGAGGUAUUUUGACAUCACUGCCCAAAGAUAAUGAGAGUAUAUGGAACUGUGUUAUUUUUUCAUUAUAUUUUUUUCUCUAUCUCUGUCUAUUGCAUUCCUAUUAUUUUCGAACAAAAAUUCAGUUAAAAAGGUAAAUUAGAGAAUCUUCCUAAUUUGUUUGACUCUGCAAAGAAAACUUUGGCAUUCUGGGUCUUGGUUUAUAAACUAUGAUUUUUUAAAA